AUGCAACCUGCUCCCUGUGGCUGCCGAGUUCUCGGGAACAGCGGCUCGGCCUGCAAGGCUGUUGUUUCAAGAAAUGAAAAUGAAGGGCGCCCUGGAAUAGGUUCGCCGAAGAGAGAGGUUCGUGUCUCAGAAAGUGUCGCUGGGAAAAAAAAAUGCAAUUGAAUUCGCCUUGGUUGCGUUUUGGUUUUCUUAAUUUUUUGCAUGAUUCUUUGCUCCACUUUCCAAAUUCAGCAACAUGGCCUGUCGCGGUGGCUCAUGCCUGUAUUCCCAGCACUUUGGGAGGCCAAAGCAGGAAGAUCGCUUGAGCCCAGGAGUUUGAGACCAUCCUGGACAAGGUAGCAAGACCCCGUCUUUACAGAAAACUUAAAAAAAAAGAAAAAAAGAAAAAAGCCAGACACAGUGGUGCAUGCUUGUAGUCCUAGCUACUCCGGAGGCUGGGGCGGGAGGAUCACUUUUUUUUUUUUUUUUUUUUGAGACGGAGUCUCUCUGUGUUGACCAGGCUGGAGUGCAGUGGCGUGAUCUCGGCUCACUGCAAGCUGCGCCUCCCGGGUUCACGCCAUUCUCCUGCUUCAGCCUCCCGAGUAGCUGUGACUACAGGCGCCCGCCACCACGCCCGGCUAAUUUUUUGUAUUUUUAGUAGAGACGGGAUUUCACCGUGUUAGCCACGAUGAUCUUGAUCUCCUGACCUCGGCCUCUCAAAGUGCUGGGAUUACAGGCGUGAACCACCACGCCCGGCCGAUCACUUCUUGAAUCUAGGAGUUUGAGGCCGCGGUGAGCUACGAUCUUGCCACUGCACUCCUGUCUGCGCUUCAGAGCCAGAUCCCAUCUUCUCAUACACACACACACACACACACACACACACACACACACACACAGCAAAUUCAGAAACAGUAAGGCCUUGCUUUUCUCCUGCACUUUAAAACGAGCCAGAUUCUCUGUAUUUUCGCACGUGAUCACUUGUCAUAGUAAUUGCCUGGUGAGAGCACCUGAGUGAACUUUUGAGCAUUUAAAUAUAUGGGGAAAUGUAUUUGUCCGUUUUCUCCACACACAAAAUUCGUCCUCACAAAAUUCCUGAGAAAUGUUUGGGUUUUGGUUUUUUAUGUUUGUUUUUUGAAAAACAAUUUUAAACCAUAUUUAUUCAUACCAAAACUGCUCUUACUGUGACCACAAGCUGCUUGCUUUUUGCUGAAUAUGAUAAGCACUAUUUUUUUUUUUUUUUUUUGAGACGGAGUCUUGCUCUGUCGCCCAGGCUGGAGUGCAGUGGCGUGAUCUCAGCUCACUGCAACCUCUGCCUCCCGGGUUCAAGCAAUUCUCCUGUCUCAGCCUCCCGAGUAGCUGGGAUUACAGGCAGGCGGCACCGCGCCCAGCUAAUUUUUGUAUUUUUAGUAGAGACAGAGUUUCACCAUGUUGGCCAGGCUGGUCUCGAACUCCUGACCUCAUGAUUCGCCUGCCUCAGCCUCCCAAACUGCUGGGAUUACAGGCAAUAAGCCACCGCGCCCAGCCAAUAAGCACUAUUUAACAGUUCUUAUCUGUUUUGACUCUUGACAUUGAUAAUUCCUCCCAUGGAAUAAAAAGUUGUCUCUUGAUUUACAUUCUUACUAGGAAAUAAUACGAGUUCAUUGUAGAAAAUCAAAGAAAAAAACCCAAAGAAGUAGAAAUCCCCUUCUAUCCCACUACUUUGUUAUAAACGUCAGUAAUCAUUUAGGGUAUAUCUUUCCUAUUUAAAAAUAAUAUGAGUAUAGAUGAUUUUGUUGUUUAUUCACCAAAAGAUUGCAUUAUAUCCUACCAUUAUAAAAUAGUCAUAUCAAAAAUAGGUCGUCAGGCCAGGUGCGGUUGCUGAGGCCUCUAAUCCUAGCACUUUGGGAGGCUGAGGCAGGAGGAUCACUUGAGUCCAGGAGUUUGAGACCAGCCGGGACAACAUGGUGAAACCCCAUCUCUACAACAAAAUACAAAAAUUAGCCCGGUAUGGAGGGAUGUGCCGGUAGUCACAGCUACUACCAAGGCUGAGGCAGGAGGAUCACUUGAGCCUGGGAGUUUGAGGCUGCAGUGAGCCGUGAUUGUGCCACUGCACUCCAGCCUGGGCGACAGAGUGAGACCCUAUCUCUACAAAAAUAAAGCAAAAUAAAAAAAGUCUUCAACAUUUUAAUGACUUCUCUAGAUGCACCAUCAUUUAUUCAACAAGCCUCUUGAUGUACUCUGUUUUGUUCAUUGUUUUCCUUUUACAAAUAUCACUGAAAUGAACUUCCUUAUACAUAUAUCUUUAAAAACUUGAAAGACUGUUUUUGGAAAAUUUUAUUACAUGGGAACUUUUAUUAAUUAGGUCAAAAAAUACACACUUUAUUUUUUGUUUGUUUUGAGACAGUCUUGCUCUGUCGCCGAGGCUGGGAUGCAGUGGCACAACAUGGUGAAACCUGUCUCUACUAAAAAUAUAAAAAUUAGCCAGGCGUGGCCGGGCGCGGUGGCUCAUGCCUGUAAUCCCAGCACUUUGGGAGGCCGAGGCGGGCGGAUCACGAGGUCAGGAGAUCGAGACCAUCCUGGCUAACACGGUGAAAACCCGUCUCCACUAAAAACAUACAAAAAAAUUAGCUGGGCGUGGUGGCGGGCACCUGUGGUCCCAGCUGCUACUCAGGAGGCUGAGGCAGAAGAAUGGCAUGAACCUGGGAGGCCGAGCUUGCAGUGAGCCGAGAUCGCGCCACUGCACUCCAAGCCUGGGUGACAGACCGAGACUCCGUCUCAAAAAUAAAAUUAAAAUAAAAUAAAAUAAAAUAAAAUAAAAUAAUAAAAUAAAAUAGCCAGGCGUGAUGGCACACACCUGUAAUCCCAGCUACUAGGAAGGCUGAGGCAGGAGAAUUGCUUGAACCUGGGAGGCGGAGGUUGUAGUGAGCCCGAGAUUGUGCCACUGCACUCCAGCCUGGACGACAGAGUGAGAUUCCAUCUCAAAAAAAAAGAAAAAAGAAAGAAAUAUUUACAAUAUAUUCUCUGAAGCCUGCUACUUGGAGGCUUUUUUUUGGGGGGGAUACUCCACAACCCCUUAUCAUAACCCAGACAUUCCUUUCUAUUGAUAGUAACUCUUUUAACCAAUUGUGAAUCAGAAAAUUUUAAAAUCUACCUAUAACCUGAAAGCCCUCCCACUUCAAGUUAUCCUACCUUUCUAAACCAAGGUUUUGUUUUUUUGUUUUGUUUUGUUUUGUUUUGUUUUGUUUUGUGUUUGAGACAGGGUCUCGCUCUGUCACCCAGGCUGGAGUGCAGUGGUGCAAUCACGGCUCACUGCAGCCUCAACUUCCCGGCUCCAGCGGUCCUCCCACCUCCCGCAGGUGUGUGCCACCAUGCCUGGCUACGUUUUGUAUUUUUAGUAGAGACAGGGUUUUGCCACGUUGCCCAGGCUGGUCUCGAACUCCUGAGCUCAAGUGAUCCACUGGCCUCAGCCUCCCAAAGUGCUAGGAUUACAGAUGUGAGCCACCACAGCUGGCCCCAAUAUAUAUCUUAUAUGUAUUUAAUUGCUGUCUCAUGUCUCCCUGCAAUGUAUAAAACCCAGCUGUGUCCAACCACCUUGCACACAUUUUCCCUGGGUCUCCUGAGGGCUGGGUCAUAGGCCAUGGUCACUCAUAUUUGACUCAGAAUGAAUCUCUUCAAAUGUUUUACAAAGUUUGACUCUUUUCAUUGAUGCUAUUUAUUCUGCCGUCUGCUUGUAUUUCUGCCACGUGUGCCUCUUCUAGGCCAGAAGCUUGGGCAGGUGCUGGUUGAGGGUAGACUCAAAUGAACCAGCCUGGAAAACCACCAGUUGUUUUUGUUUGUUGAGUGAGGACCAGGAAAUUCACUGAUGUGGUUAUUUAGUGAAAUGGCUUCAUGCCAAUUUCACUCAUUGUGCUUCUGCAAGAGAAACUGUUUAAUGAGGGAAUUUGGGGCCAGGGGCGGUGGCUCAUGCCUGUAAUCCCAGCACUCUGGGAGGCCGAGGCGGGUGGUUCACCUGAGGUCAGGAGUUGGAGAACAGGCUGGCCAACAUGGUGAAAUCCCUGUCUCUGUGAAAAAUACAAAAAUUACCCGGGCGUGGUGGUGAGCGCCUGGGAUAAUCCAAGCUACUCAGGAGGCUGAGGCAGGAGCAUCGCUUGAACCCGGGAGGCGGAGGUUGCAGUGAGCCAAGAUCGUGCCACUGCACUCCAGGCUGGGCGACACAGCAAGACUCCGUCUCAAAAAACAACAAAACAAAACAAAAAUAAUAAUGAGGGAAUUUUGGACAAAAACAAAGUUCUGUCCUUAGCUCGAGUUCAGAAACUGUUGUGGCCAUGCCAGUGACUUGGAACUGCCACUCCAGGGGACCGAGGUGCUGGCUGCUGGCCAAGGAUAUGCACUGAGACACUGUUGUGAGAAUUAACCAUUAACAGGUCGCCGGGAUUCCGUUUGUCACAUUUUUCCUAUUGAGACUUUUUUUUUCCCUUUUCUCUUUGAGAAUUUCAAAGCAUUUAAAAAUACCCUCUAUGUCCGGGCGCGGUGGCUCACGCCUGUAAUCCCAGCACUUUGGAAGGCUGAGGCUGGUGGAUCACGAGGUUAGGAGAUCGAGACCAUCCUGGCUAACACGGUGAAACCCCGUCUCUACUAAAAAUACAAACAACUUAGCCGGGCGUGGUGGCGGGCACCUGUAGUCCCAGCUACUCGGGAGGCUGAGGCAGGAGAAUAGCGUGAACCCGGGAGGCGGAGCUUACAAUGAGCCGAGAUCGCGCCACUGCACUCCAGCCUGGGUGAUAGAGGGAGACUCUGUCUCAAAAAAAAAAAAAAAAAAAAAAAAUACCCUCUAUGUUCUCACUUAAUCUCCGACAGUCCUUGGUUGAUGCAGACGACCACACAUCCAAAAGGAAACCAGGUAUGUCAAAUCAUGCGUAAACUCGGGAAAGCCUCAUCAUGCAGACUUUAGCAAUGUUAAAUUAGUGAUCAUUCAGGCCAGGCGCAGUGGCUCACCCCUGUAAUCCCAGCACUUUGGGAGGCCGAGGCGGGCAGAUCGCUUGAGGCCAGAAGUUCAAGACCGGCCUGGCCAACAUGGUGAAAUCCCGUCUCCACUAAAAAUACAAAAAUUAGCCAGUCGUGGUGGUGGGCACCUGUAAUCCCAGCUACUCGGGAGGCUGAGGCAGGAGAAUGGCGUGAACCCAGGAGGUGGAGGUUGCAGUGAGCCAAGAUCGCGCCACUGCACUCCAGCCUGGGUGACAGAGUGAGACCCUCUCUCAAAAAAAAUAAAAUUAGUGAUCAUUCAAACCAGAAUCAUGACAAUCUUUGUGAAGAAUGGCUUGCUUUGUGUCUUAAACAAGACAAGCUGCAGAAUACCUGCCAUGCCCACAGCCCCUAGGACAUCCUCAGGGGCCCUUCCACUGACACCCCUCCCACCUUCAUCCAAUUCAAAGGCUUCUCAAACCACCUAUGAAAUGGCCUGACUCAACAGCAUGACCUGGACCAAUCAGAGUUGACUAUUUUUGUUUGUUUGUUUUGUUUUUUGAGACACAGUUUCAUUCUUGUUGCCCAGGCUGGAGUGCAAUGGCACAAUCUCGGCGCACCACAACCUCCGCCUCCCGGGUUCAAGCGAUUCUCCUGCCUUAGCCUCCCAAGCAGCUGGGAUUACAGGCAUGCACCACCAUGCCCGGCUAAUUUUGUAUUUUUAGUAGAGAUGAGGUUUCUCCAUGUUGGUCAGGCUGGUCUCGAACUCCCGACCUCAGGUGAUCCGUUCACCUCGGCCUCCUAAAGUGCUGGGAUUACAGGCAUGAACCACUGCGCCCGGCCACUUAUUUUUUUUAAAAUCACAGUUUAUCCUUUUAUCUGUUGAUGAACUUUGGGCUGUUUCCAGUUUUUUUACUACUAUGAAUAAACUCCUGUAAACAUUCUAGUAUAUCUUUUUGUGGACAUGUAUCUUAAUUUCUCUUGGGUAAAUAUCCAGGAGUAGGAUUACUGGAUUAUAUGGUGUUUAAUUUUGUAAGAAACUGUCAAACAUUUCUCCAAAGUGGGUGUACCUUUUUUUUAAGCUUUAUUUAUUUAUUUUUAUUAUACUUUAAGUUCUAAGGUACAUGUGCACAAUGUGCAGGUUUAUUACAUAUGUAUACAUGUGUCAUGUUGGUGUGCUGCACCCAUUAACUCAUCAUUUACAUUAGGUAUUUCGCCUAAUGCUAUCCCUCCCCCAACCCCACGACAGGCCCCAGUGUGUGAUAUUCCCCACCCUGUGUCCAAGUGUUCUCAUUGUUCAAUUCCCACCUAUGAGUGAGAACAUUCGGUGUUUGGUUUUCUGUCCUUCGACAGUUUGCUCAGAAUGAUGGUUUCCAGCUUCAUCCCAAAGGACAUGAACUCAUGCUUUUUUAUGGCUGCAUAGUAUUCCAUGGUGUAUAUGUGCCACAUUUUCUUAAUCCAGUUUAUCAUUGAUGGCCAUUUGGGUUGGUUCCAAGUCUUUGCUAUUGUGAAUAGUGCCGCAAUAAACAUACAUGUGCAUGUGUCUUUAUACUGGCAUGAUUUAUAAUCCUUUGGGUAUAUACCCAGUAAUGGGAUCGCUGGGUCAAAUGGUAUUUCUAGUUCUAGAUCCUUGAGGAAUCGCCACACUGUCUUCCACAAUGGUUGAACCAACGGUGUAAAAGUGUUCCUAUUUUUCCACAUCCUCUCCAGCACCUGUUGUUUCCUGACUUUUUAAUGAUCGCCAUUCUAACUGGUGUGAGAUGGUAUCUCAUUGUGGUUUUGAUUUGCAUUUCUCUGAUGGCCAGUGAUGAUGAGCAUUUUUUCAUGUGUCUGUUGGUUGCAUAGAUGUCUUCUUUUGAGAAGUGUCUGUUCAUAUCUUUUGCCCACUUUUUGAUGGGGUUGUUUGAUUUGUUUUGUAAAUUUGUUUAAGUUCUUUGUAGAUUCUGGAUAUUAGCCCUUUGUCAGAUGGGUAGAUGGCAAAAAUUUUCUCCCAUUCUGUAGGUUGCCUGUUCACUCUGAUGGUAGUUUCUUUUGCUGUGCAGAAGCUCUUUAAUUAGAUCCCAUUUUUCUAUUUUGGCUUUUGUUGCCAUUGCUUUUGGUGUUUUAGACAUGAAGUCCUUGCCCAUGCCUAUGUCCUGAAUGGUAUUGCCUAAGUUUUCUUCUAGGGUUUUUAUGGUUUUAGGUCUAACAUUUAAGUCUUUAAUCCAUCUUGAAUUAAUUUUUGUAUGAGGUGUAAGGAAGGGAUCCAGUUUCAGCUUUCUACAUAUGGUUAGCCAGUUUUCCCAGCACCAUUUAUUAAAUAGGAAAUCCUUUCCCCAUUUCUUGUUUUUGAUAGGUUUGUCAAAGAUCAGAUGGUUGUAGAUGUGUGGUGUUAUUUCUGAGGGCUCUGUUCUGUUCCAUUGGUCUAUAUCUCUGUUUUGGUACCAGUACCAUGCUGUUUUGGUUACUGUAGCCUUGUAGUAUAGUUUGAAGUCAGGUAGCGUGAUGCCUCCAGCUUUGUUCUUUUUGCUUAAGAUUGUCUUGGCAAUGCAGGCUCUUUUUUGGUUCCAUAUGAACUUUAAAGUAGUUUUUUCCAAUUCUGUGAAGAAAGUCAUUGGUAGCUUGAUGUGGAUGGCAUUGUCAGAUUCGACUUUUUAAUCAGCACUAGUGCCUAAGGAGAAACAGCUGUUGUGAAUGGUAGGAGCUAAUAUAGAAUGGAGGUGAUACUUAGAGACUACAGAGGGGCCAUCAAAAGCUUUGUAGGGCCGGGCAUGGUGGCUCACACCUGUAAUCCCAGCUCUUUGUAAGGCCAAGGUAGGAGGAUCGCUUGAGCUCUGGAGUUUGAGACCAGCCUGAGCAACAUAGUGAGACCCUGUCUCUACACAAAAUACAAAAAAAAAUUAGCUGGGCCUAGUAGCAUGGGCCUGUAGUCCCAGCCCCACAAGGCUCUUAAUGGUCUCACAUUCCUGAGCUCAAGUGAUCUCCUGCCUUGGCCUCUCAAAGUGCUGGCAUUGCAGGCAUGAGCCACUGCGCCUGGACAAACUGGUAUUUUAAAAGAAGAAGGCCAGGUGCAGUGGCUCAUGCCUGUAACCUCAGCACUUUGGGAGGCUGAGACGGGUGGAUCACCCGAGGUCAGGAGUUUGAGACCAGCUUGGUCAUCAUGGUGAAACCCUGUCUACUAAAAAUACAAAAAUUAGCCAGGCCCGGUGGUGGGCACGUGUAAUCCCAGCUAUUUUGGAGGCUGAGUCAGGAGAACUGCUUGAACCCGGGAAGCGGAGGUUGCAGUGAGCUGGUAUCGCACCACUGCACUCCAGCCUGGGCAACAAGAGCGAGACUCAGUCUCAAAAAAUAAAAAAAUAAAAAGAAGAAGAAGAAGAAGAAAAGUAAUUUGUUCAUGUACUGAGAUGCUGGUGGGUGAUUGGCUUCAGGAGUGUCUGGAUCCAGGGACUUACCUAAUACCUUAGGUAUCUGUCUCCCUCCUGUGUUUCCACCUGUGGGGUGGUUUCAAUUUCAAGUAGACUCCUCCUUCAUGUUUCCAGAUAACCAUUCUGGUAGACAGUUUCUAAGAUGGACCCAGUGAACCCCACGUCCUGGUAUUCAUGGCCCCGUGUGCUCCCCUCCCCUUGAGUAACUUGCUUCUAAUCAAUAACAUAACAUGUAAACGGGAUGUCACUUCUGAUUAAGUUAUGUAAGGCUGGGUCAGGUGCAGCAGCUCACGCCUAUAAUCCUAGCACUUUGGGAAGCCGAGGCAGGAGGAUUGCUUAAGCCCAGGAGCUCAAGACCAGCCUGGGCAACAUGGUAAGACCCCCAUCUCCCCCAAAAAUUAAAAAAUUAGCCAGGUGUGGUGGCACACCUGUAGUCCCAACUACUGAGGAGGCUGAGGCUGGAGGAUGGCUUGAGCCUAAGAGUUCAGGGCUACAGUGAACCAUCAUCACACCACUGCGCCCCAGCCUGGGCGACAGAGCAAGACCCUAUCUCAAACAACAUAUGACGUGCGGACAGGAUGUCACUUCCGAUUCCGUUGUAUAAGGCUGUGGUGGGCUGGGCGCGGUGGCUCACGCCUGUAAUCCCACCACUUUGGGAGGCCGAGGCGGGCAGAUCACGAGGUCAGGAGAUGGAGACCAUCGUGGCUAACACGGUGAAACCCCGUCUCUACUAAAAAUACAAACAAUUAGCCGGGCGUGGUAGCGGGCGCCUGUAGUCCCAGCUACUCGGGAGGCUGAGGCAGGAGAAUGGCGUGAACCCGGGAGGCGGAGCUUGCAGUGAGCCGAGAUCGCGCCACUGCAGUCCAGCCUGGGCGACAGAGCAAGACUCCGUCUCAAAAAAAAAAAAAUAAAUAAAUAAAUACAUAAAUAAGGCUGUGGCUUCCAUCUUGCUAGCACGCGCUCUCCAUUACUUUCUCAGCUUGCAGGCCUCUGGGAAGCAAGCCAUCGUGUGGCAGAGGCCCAGGUGGCAAGGAACCAAGGGCGGCUUCUGGCCAACAGCCAGCGAGGACCUGAGACCGUAGCCCAACACCCCUCCAGGAACUGAAUUUUGCCAGCAACCAGUGAGUGACCUUGGAAGUGGAUCCUUCCCCCGAAAGCCCGGCUUUCAGGUGAAGGUUAUUCGUUGAACCAAUAAUCUCUGAAAUUUUUGGAGUUCCAUGAAGCUUGCACCAACUAUUAUCCCUGAGAUGACCUUGGCUGUGGAACCCAGAUUCUGUUCAGGGCCGAGAGCGCCACCUGGUGAUUCCAGUUUGUAAGUGAGUCACCCCGCCCCCCCGCCCCACUUCCUGGGCCAGACUGACCCAGUUUAGAAUUCCAGUUUAGACCAGCAGGAUUGGCUUUUUUGUUUUGUUGGGGCUCAGAAAUGGAGGCUUUGAUACGCUGAACUGAAGAAGGAUCUCUCUGAUAUUCCCUCCCAUCCAAAAGCACAGGAAGUUCCUUUAUCCACCUAAAAUCCAGACCCCCCAAUUAGAAACAAUUGUUCUUUCUUUCCCUCUCUGUUAUCUCUUUAUUGCAGAAAGGAAGACACAGAAGGUAACCACACCUGAACAGAUCCUUUCAUAAGAUAAUGUCAGGCUCAUUCACAUUUCAAAGACAUCUAUUUACAAGUUAAUUUCUCUUCUAGUUCCUGACCCAUUCAUUUCCCUAGUAAUCCUUUAUUUCCCCCAAAUUCCUUUUUUCCCUCCAAUAACCCGUUUUGCCAGGAUGGAAGCCCCUGUCUUUCUGUAAUCUCAAAAUGAUAUUUAAUGUUUCACACUCCCUUGAGGUGUGGGUAAUUCCUCUGUAGUUUCCCCUCUUGUUCACGUUAAUAAAUCUAGAUGCCUUUUCUCCAAUUAAUCUGCCUUUUGUUGAGUUGAUCUUUCUUUCUUUUUAUUUAUUUAUUUAUUUUUAACCUAAAGCUGGCAUCUGGUUCCAGGCUUCUUUCCUCAAAAAAUUUCUAACUAGGAUUUCUUUUCUUCUCUUCUCUUUUUUUUUUUUUUUUUUUGAGAUGGCGUCUAGCUCUGUCACCCAGGCUGGAGUGCAGUAGCACAAUCUCGGCUGACUGCAACCUCGGUCUCCUGGGUUCAAGCGAUUCUCCUGCCUCAGCCUCCCAAGUAGCUGGGAAUACAGGCGUGUACCGCCAUGCCCAGCUAAUUUUUAUAUUUUUAGUAGAGACGGGGUUUCACCAUGUUGGCCAGGCUGGUCUCCUGACCUCAAGUGAUCCGCCCACCUCGGCCUCCCAAAGCGCUGUGAUUACAGGCAUGAGCCAACGCGCCUGGUCUGUAACAAGAAUUCCUAUACAUCUCUGAAAUGCAUGCAUAUCAAAACUCAUUGUGCAAACCCUGGCUGACAUUAAGGGACCAAAAUGUCUACAAAUGUAAUCACGUAUCGUGGCCUACACAGCUAAUAUGGUCCAAAUUACCCUUAAGCUCCUGCUUUAAGGUCCAUAAAUACCUGGAAGGAAAAUUCACCGCAGGGCACUCAGUCCUCUCAUGCUGAGGAGUCCCGCAGCGCUUUUAUGCAGUGUUCUUUCUAAUAUAUUUUUUUCUUUUUCAAACCUAUGCUGACAUCAGUAAAUUCUUUGUACUAACCUACGACCUGCGAGCCCACCACUUGCCAGUGCCGGGCCCUGACAUCUCGUCCAGCAGAGACGGUCUUGUUCUGUUGCCCAGCUAGAGGGCAGUGGUGUGAUCAUAGCUCACUGCAGCCUCGAAUUCCUGGGCUCAAGUGAUCCUCCCACCUUAGCCUCCUGAAUAGCUGGGACCACAGGAACGCACCACCACACCCAGCUAAUUUUAUAAUUUAUUGUAAAGAUGGGUCUAACCAUGUUGCCCAGGCUUAUCAGAAAGUUCUUAAUCUCCGUAACCCCCAACUCCAGUUUAAGAACAACUACUGGCCACACAUGGUGACAUGCCUGUAAACCCAGCACUUUGGGAGGCUGAGGCGGGUGGAUCACCUGAGGUCAGGAGUUCGAGACCAGCCUGGCCAACAUGGUAUAACCCUGUCUCUACUAAAAAUACAAAAAUUAGCCGGGCAUGGUGGCACACGCCUGUAAUCUCAGCUACUCGGGAGGCUGAGGCAGGAGAAUCGCUUGAACCCAGGAGGCAGAGGUUUCAGUGAGCCAAGAUCGUGCCAUUGCACUCCAGCCUGGGAUACAGAGUGAGACUCCUUCUAAAAAAAAAAAAGAAGGUGCCGGGCGCGGUGGCUUACGCCUGUAAUCCCAGCACUUUGGGAGGCCGAGGUGGGCGGAUCACGAGGUCAGGAGAUCGAGACCAUCCUGGCUAACCCGGUGAAACCCCGUCUCUACUAAAAAUACAAAAAAAUUAGCCAGGUGUGGUGGC
rnacentral:lncRNA from 1 species